UAGGGAAUCUUCGGCAAUGGGGGGAACCCUGACCGAGCAACGCCGCGUGAGUGAAGAAGGUUUUCGGAUCGUAAAGCUCUGUUGUUAAGGAAGAACGAGUGUGAGAAUGGAAAGUUCAUACUGUGACGGUACUUAACCAGAAAGGGACGGCUAACUACGUGCCAGCAGCCGCGGUAAUACGUAGGUCCCGAGCGUUGUCCGGAUUUAUUGGGCGUAAAGCGAGCGCAGGCGGUUAGAUAAGUCUGAAGUUAAAGGCAGUGGCUCAACCAUUGUAGGCUUUGGAAACUGUUUAACUUGAGUGCAGAAGGGGAGAGUGGAAUUCCAUGUGUAGCGGUGAAAUGCGUAGAUAUAUGGAGGAACACCGGUGGCGAAAGCGGCUCUCUGGUCUGUAACUGACGCUGAGGCUCGAAAGCGUGGGGAACGAACAGG
rnacentral:rRNA from 1 species